GGAACUCUGUCUAGUACAGGAAGGACACAUGAGUAAACAAUAAUUGCAAUUCAGUGUACAACGAAGGCGUACAACGGAGGUGACUGCUGUGGAAAAGGAGGCUGGACUCUGCUUGGUGGGGCAGGAAGACUUUGAAUCGGGACUCAAGGCCACCAGAACUCCAUCCCUGCUCAUGGCUUAUUUCUACUCAUCUCUGCCUGGCUGUGUUCUGCAAGAGACUUUCUUCACAUGGAGGGAAGGUGGCCACCCCCAACGCUACACCUGUAUCAUCUCAAGCAGCAGUCCCAACAUGAAGAGGACCUCCUUCCCAUCCUGCUGCCUGGAGAGCCGAUAUGAGGCCAUCAUCUUGGACCAUGAGAAGAAGAACCACAUCUUAUGUGAGGCAGAGUAAAAACACUGGGAGGAGCCGAGUCCCCUCUAGUCUUUUCCAUGAGAAAA